rnacentral:rRNA from 1 species
UGCCUACGGGGCGCAGCAGUAGGGAAUCUUCCACAAUGGACGAAAGUCUGAUGGAGCAACGCCGCGUGAGUGAAGAAGGGUUUCGGCUCGUAAAGCUCUGGUGGUAGUGAAGAAAGAUAGAGGCAGUAACUGGCCUUUAUUUGACGGUAAUUACUUAGAAAGUCACGGCUAACUACGUGCCAGCAGCCGCGGUAAUACGUAGGUGGCAAGCGUUGUCCGGGUUUAUUGGGCGUAAAGCGAGU